UACAGAGGUCCCAAGCGUUGUUCGGAUUCAUUGGGCGUAAAGGGCUCGUAGGCGGCCAACUAAGUCGGACGUGAAAUCCCCAGGCUCAACCUGGGAACUGCGUCCGAUACUGGAUGGCUUGAAUUCGGGAGAGGGAUGCAGAAUUCCAGGUGUAGCGGUGAAAUGCGUAGAUAUCUGGAGGAAUACCGGUGGCGAAGGCGGCAUCCUGGACCGACAUUGACGCUGAGGAGCGAAAGCUAGGGGAGCAAACGGG
rnacentral:rRNA from 1 species